rnacentral:rRNA from 1 species
AACGAACGCUGGCGGCAUGCCUAACACAUGCAAGUCGAACGAAGCCUUCGGGCUUAGUGGCGCACGGGUGCGUAACGCGUGGGAAUCUGCCCUUGGGUUCGGAAUAACAGUUAGAAAUGACUGCUAAUACCGGAUGAUGUCUUCGGACCAAAGAUUUAUCGCCCAAGGAUGAGCCCGCGUAGGAUUAGGUAGUUGGUGGGGUAAUGGCCCACCAAGCCGACGAUCCUUAGCUGGUCUGAGAGGAUGAUCAGCCACACUGGGACUGAGUCACGGCCAAGACUCCUACGGGAGGCAGCAGUGGGGAAUAUUGGACAAUGGGCGAAAGCCUGAUCCAGCAAUGCCGCGUGAGUGAUGAAGGCCUUAGGGUUGUAAAGCUCUUUUACCAGGGAUGAUAAUGACAGUACCUGGAGAAUAAGCUCCGGCUAACUCCGUGCCAGCAGCCGCCGUAA